rnacentral:rRNA from 1 species
AGAGUUUGAUCAUGGCUCAGGAUGAACGCUAGCUACAGGCUUAACACAUGCAAGUCGAGGGGAAACGACAUCGAAAGCUUGCUUUUGAUGGGCGUCGACCGGCGCACGGGUGAGUAACGCGUAUCCAACCUGCCCACCACUUGGGGAUAACCUUGCGAAAGUAAGACUAAUACCCAAUGACGUCUCUAGAAGACAUCUGAAGGAGAUUAAAGAUUUAUCGGUGAUGGAUGGGGAUGCGUCUGAUUAGCUUGUUGGCGGGGUAACGCCACAAGGCGACGAUCAGGUAGGGGUUCUGGGAGGAAGGUCCCCCANAUUGGAACUGAGACACGGUCCAAACUCCUACGGGAGCA